CGGCGGACGGGUGAGUAACGCGUGGGUAACCUGCCCUGUACAGGGGGAUAACAGUUAGAAAUGACUGCUAAUACCGCAUAAGCCCACAGCUUCGCAUGAAGCGGUGGGAAAAACUCCGGUGGUACAGGAUGGGCCCGCGUCUGAUUAGCUAGUUGGUGAGGUAAGAGCUCACCAAGGCGACGAUCAGUAGCCGACCUGAGAGGGUGACCGGCCACAUUGGGACUGAGACACGGCCCAA
rnacentral:rRNA from 1 species